UUAGAUCCAGAAGACCAGGAUUUAUAUUCCAGUGAGGAAGUCUCAAGGUAUCAGCAUGAGGACAUGAAGAGGGUAAUCAUGAGGCUGGAGCAGGGUGCUCAUUCUUAUAUGCAAAGAGCCAUUGCAUCUCAAGGAGCAUUUGCUGUUUUAUAUGGCCGCCAUUCAAAGAUAUUAAGAAACCUGAGGUUUUGCUUGGUAGAGCAACAGAAGAUGUAAUUGUUGACAUUGAGUUGGGGAGGGAAGGGGGAGCAAAUAAGAUAUCUCGUCGGCAGGCAACUAUAAAUUUGGACAAAGGUGGAUCUUUCCAUCUGAAAAAUCUUGGCAAAUGUUCUAUCUCAGUAAAUGACAAGGAAAUAGCCCCUGGACAGAGUCUAAACCUUGCUUCCAGUUGUUUGAUUGAGAUAAGGGGUAUGCCAUUCAUAUUUGAGACCAAC
rnacentral:misc_RNA from 1 species